GCGCUUACUUCACUAGCACAUAUACUAAAAUUGGAAUAAUACAGAGAAGAUUAGCAUGGUCCCUGUGCAAAGAUGCCAUGCAAAUUUGUGAAGCAUUCCAUACUUUU
ensembl:snRNA U6 U6 spliceosomal RNA